rnacentral:rRNA from 1 species
AGCCUACGGGGCGCAGCAGUAGGGAAUUUUCGUCAAUGGGCGCAAGCCUGAACGAGCAAUGCCGCGUGAACGAGGAAGGUCUUCGGAUCGUAAAGUUCUGUUGACGGGGAAAAAGACCGGGAAAGGAAAUGAUCCCGGAGGAGAUAUUACCCGUCGAGGAAGUCACGGCUAACCACGUGCCAGCAGCCGCGGUAAUACGUAGGUGGCGAGCGUUAACCGGAAUGAUUGGGCGUGAAGGGUGCGUAGGCGGUAGAUUCAGUCUGGAGUGAAAGGUACCGGCUCAACCGGUCUAGGCUCCGGAAACU